AGCGAAGGCUGUGCCACUGUCUGUUUUUAUUUGUAGUGAUAUACCCAUAACCGCAAAGCAACCACUGAGAUGCCUUUCUACAUGCACAGCCUUUCCUCCGGGUUGAGCGGUGGCCCACAUAAGAUGGCUAUAUGUACCUAUAGACACGUGCUGGGCCGGGUCAGUGCCCCGUAACAAAGGUCGCAACGACUCUAAGGGUUCGUUUGGGAUGCCCACCACAGGGCGCAGCCACUGCCUCCCCUGGGUUCUCAGCCUCCCACAGUCCCUGACAGGACCCCCAUCACCUUCCCAGGAUCCCCAUAGCCCACCAAGGAGGAACCCCACAGCAAUCCACAUCUCAGGAUGGGGCUCCAGCUGUGCCCCGAUGCGUUCAUUCAAGAGAGGAGAAUGAAUGAGCGUAACGGGGGCACCUUUCCUCCUGACAUUGCCCACCGCCUGCGUGUUGGCU
rnacentral:lncRNA from 1 species